AGCUGGGUCUCGCGCAAUGGAUGGUUGUAAAUCCCGCCAGGUCCGGAAGGAAGCAACGGU
rnacentral:SRP_RNA from 1 species